rnacentral:tRNA from 1 species
AGCAGCGUGGCUUAGUGGACAGAGCGUUGGCUUGGGAAUCGGGAGGACCUGGGUUCUAAUCCUAGCUCUUCCA